rnacentral:rRNA from 1 species
UACGUAGGGUGCAAGCGUUAAUCGGAAUUACUGGGCGUAAAGCGUGCGCAGGCGGUUAUGUAAGACAGAUGUGAAAUGCCCGGGCUUAACCUGGGAACUGCAUUUGUGACUGCAUGGCUAGAGUUUGGCAGAGGGGGGUAGAAUUCCACGUGUAGCAGUGAAAUGCGUAGAUAUCGGAAGGAACAUCAGUGGCGAAAGCGACUUCCUGGACCAAUACUGACGCUCAUGUGCGAAAGCGUGGGGAGCAAACAGG